GCUGCGCAGCGCCGCGCCGCAGCCGGGCCACGGGCAACGGCCACCUGGCCGGCGGCGCGGUACCAACAUACAGUACAGCUCAGCUCAUCACGCGCGGCCGGUGCUGGCAUAUCGUAUUCUGAACAUCGAAGUACACCUCUAAUCAAGACCGUGUACUUGACUUGUUGCAGUCUUGGCGAAGCAAUUCGCAUAAAGUUUUACGAGAAAAAAAAGGAGCAGCCUUCAAGACGACACGGAGAAGUUUAAAAGUAGGCCCAUGGAGCAUCAGGAAAAACUUGACAGGCUCUGGGAUGAGGGCAUGACAAACUAUGGGACAGCCGAGGCUAAAAGAAAGGUUGCAUUGGCCAUCGAAAGAACUGGUUUGACUGCGAAGCAAGUGAAGCGUUGGAUAGACAAUAAACGCAGGACAAACCAUCGAAAGAAUGGCAAGCAGAGGGUCUUACCCCUGCGCAAAAGAAGAUGCAGUGGCUACAACAUCUUCAUGAAGAAGUUUAUAGGCUCAAAAGGUAAGAUUUGUCUACUUAAUUGUUCUCUUUGUGAUACAUGUAGAAAGAAACAGCAUAUUAAAGUGAAACAUGAUUUUUUUUUUAGUCCCCCA